GAGUGAUGAAGGCCUUCGGGUCGUAAAACUCUGUCCUCAAGGAAGAUAAUGACGGUACUUGAGGAGGAAGCCCCGGCUAACUACGUGCCAGCAGCCGCGGUAAUACGUAGGGGGCUAGCGUUAUCCGGAUUUACUGGGCGUAAAGGGUGCGUAGGCGGUCUUUCAAGUCAGGAGUGAAAGGCUACGGCUCAACCGUAGUAAGCUCUUGAAACUGGGAGACUUGAGUGCAGGAGAGGAGAGUGGAAUUCCUAGUGUA
rnacentral:rRNA from 1 species